ACCUAACGAGCUCACCAACAGCAUCACAUCCAAGCUUAGAGGUAAAAUAACUAAAAAAAAUUCAGAGCUUGCGCGAUCAAAUGGGGGAAGGACUGGUUGUGGACAAUGGCAUCCCAAAAUGCGCCAAACUAAAAUGGAGUCUCAUCAUCGGACACCAGGGUCAGCACAGAAAAACCACCAGGUCUUUGAUGUUGAGAUGUAACUGAAUUUGACAUCCUAGCUGGGAGCAGGGGGUGAGGGUUAUGGAAACCUGGGGUACUCGUUGUAGGGGAGAACAGUUUGGGGAUUAAUGAUGUGUGGCAGCGGGGUGAUUGUUUGAUGCUCGUCCAUACGCAUGGAUGAAGGCUGGGAAUCUGCUUGCGUCACUGGUGUCCCUUUUCCCACAAUACUUUGCGUUAGCUCGUUCCGUUUGUCGCUGCUGUCUCCUUGCACUGCUGCAGGAACACCAGUGAAGGGAUGUUUUUUUUUGGAGGGGGUGUUGUCUUUAAUUGUGGCAGACGCUGCUCUGAGUGAGUGAAGAACGGCAAUUACGUAACACUUCAACACAUCAACACAUCAACGGACAAUCCAAUCUGACAGACUGGAGUAUCUUUGUGAGCAGUCUCCAAGGUUUGAGAUCUGUCAGUGUGGCCGAGAAGGGAGCUGAGGGCUGCAAAGAUCUGAUGGAGGCCUUCGCUGCUUGUGUGAAGAGCGCUGCCGAGGGGACGUCAUGAGGAGUCGCCCUCCAGCCUCCAAUGUCCACUGCACUGAGUCCUCCAAGUUCCCAGCAUUCCCUUCUGCACAACAGCACUGGACUGAAUGAUGACAACAACGAUGAUGAUGAUGAUGAUCGUAGCGCAACAUACACCGUGUUGAUUCGGGCUGAGUUUGGGAUCUGGCGGCAGUAACCACAGUUUCCUCCCCCCUCCUGUUUUAGGCUUAUCUGGUGUCCCUGUCUUACCGCCAUCCCUCUUCUCCCUCUACAGCUGACAUGCAGUACAUGGGCAAUUCCAGAGGGCCGAUGGGCUGUGAUGUAAAUUGUCGACUUGAAAUGAAUACUUAUAAAAGGAAAUAAAAGUAUCAAAAAAUUGGUAUAAUAAGAAUCUGUGGUUUCUGGACUCUUGUGUCACCAUUCUGAUGGUAGAUGUAGGAAAAAAGGAACACAGUCACGGUUUUGAGAGUACGGAUAUAUUUUAUCACCACUUGAAAUAGAUCUAAAGAAAACAAUCGUAACGUUUUAGUCCUAUACAACAUAAAGGGGCUGAAACGUGAGCAGUUGAACUCAAAAAGUUUAAACACCACAAAAUAACUGUUUAGUUGGCAACAGAAGAUGUUUGUGCUUCCUCAGUGAGUAUGUUGACCGAAUUGUUAAUCCAAUGUUAAUGAUCACUAGACUAUGAGAGUUAAGAACAGGUAUAUUGAAGUCCUUACUGUCUUUUCUUUCAAAAUAUUUGUUUUUUUCUGAUGUUUCCAAGGUGCAGUCAAAAAAUUUUGAGACUGAGCCCAUAAAAAACAAAAAUCAGACCUGAGUAGUCUCCUUGUGCAGUGAUACUCUGCUCCCAGUGCUCCUGCAGCACUUGUAGCACUCCCUGGAAUUCCUGUUAUGUAAACAUGUCAAACAGCAUCUGCAAUGGGGACUGAAUCUUCUCCAGUGUGUCAAAGCAGCGACUCUUCAAGUUGAAUUUCCUUAUGGGGAGGAGAAAGAAGUCACGGGGAGCUUACAGUGAGUAGGACAGGUGGGGAAGCGAUGAUGAUUUUGCUGUGGCCAAAAAACCCAUGUGUAGUCAGUGCAGUUUGACAGUCCAACCCUGGGGGACCAAGGCUUAGGAUAAGGAUUACUUACUGUGAUACACCAAACAGCCACAGCAUUUAAACCACCUGCCUAACAUUGUGUUGGUGUCACACGUGUCACCAACACAUCUCUGACCUGUUGGAGCAUCGACGCUGGACCUCUGCAGGUGUCCUGUGGUGUCUGGUAAAGGGACAUUGGCAGUGGAUUCUUUGGAUCCUGUUGUUUGCUCGGUGGGGCCUCUGUUAAUCGGGCUUGUUUCGGCAUCUCGUAAAUGCUUGACCUUGAUUGGGAUUUGGGGAGUUUGGAAGCCAGGUCAGCGCCUUGGGCUCUUUGUUGCAAUCUUCCAGCCAUUCCUGGGCAGAUUUUUACAAUGUGGUGCAUUGUCCUGCUGGGGUAGGUAACUCCUAUCAUGGAGUGCAGUUGGCACUGAAGUGGGGAAGUAUAUACACAGUGUUAAGGUGGAUGAUACAUGGCAACGUAACAUCCACCUAAAUGCCAGCACCCAAGGUUUCCAAGCAGAACGUUGUGUUUUAAUAAAAUCCAUGUGAUACUCUUCAUCUGUCAUUGGUUUGAAUGUUAAAGGGUCAAUCUAUAAUUGCAGGACUUUUUGUAGCAUAGUUGACAUUUUUGCUGUUUUCAGGCCGAAAAUCAACAACUAUAGUCAAUCACCACAUGGCAUUUUUUGAGAAAGAUUCUUCUAAAUAUUAUAUAUACAAUUGAGUAAAAUUGACAUGAGAGUUAUUUCUAAAGAUAUUGUAGUAAACCAGUGGACAUGCCAUAAAUCCACACUUGACUCACACACUACUUUAUAUUAAAUAAGUCAGAAAGCCUUGGAGUCUG
ensembl:lncRNA